UCUCCCCUCCCUCGCCCUCGUCCUUGCAGAACAGAAGAACGACAAGUCCGAGGAGGAGCAGAGCAGCAGCUCCAUGAAGAAGGAGGAGAGCAACGUCAAGAUGGAGUCGGAGGCGGGGGCCGACGACUCGGCCGAGGAGGGGGACCUGCUGGAUGACGACGACAACGAGGAUCGGGGAGACGAUCAGCUGGAGUCCAUAAAGGGGGACGAGAAAGAGGCAGAGGAAGGAGAGGAUGACAGAGACAGCGCCAAUGGCGAAGAUGACUCCUAAGCUCCCCCUCCCCCAGCAAAGGCACCCAUCUUAAAAAACAACAACAAAAAAAACAAAAACAAAAAACAAAAAAACCGAGCCUGGCCCCCGCCCCGCCGCCCCCUCCUCGCUGCCUGCUGCCCCGUGUUCAUGGUGUCGUGUCUCCUGCCGCGCCUCUGCUCUCACUGUAGUUCUGUUCGGUCCCCCUGUAAUUUUCCUCUUUUAAUUUUGAUACCUCUUUACGACUUAACAAUAAAAAGGACGUAUGGUUUUUA